UGGGGUGAAGUCCAAGUUCCAGAUCCCAGCACGGAGACCCUUCAUGCCCAGCCCCUGCCGCCUUCCAGCUUCCUGAACUUCCAUCUUCUUAAAGACACAGCUGUUCCACCACUCGGAUUCUCUUAUUGUUUUCUAACCGUGGCAUAUGGUCUCAUGCCCAUGUUGCCUCAAAUGCAUAGUGUUUACUCACUAAUCAAGAUAAUUUCAAUCAAUAUCUUUUCCGGGAAGCUUCCCAAGGGCCACCCUCUUGAUCAGUGCUGACCUGCUGCCUCAUAAUGGUUUUCUUACAUGUCAGUGUGCUUCCACACGCAAGCAUUUCUUGGUCUAGUGCGACAGAAAUAUAGGAACAGUGCCGGGCACAGGGAUUUGAUAACUACAGAGUGUCUAUGGAAGUUGACACAGAGACUUACGGAGUAAAGUCCCAUGGACUAGUAAAAAGAAGAGAGAAUCUGAAGACAAUGCAAGAAUGUCACAUCCUCCUUUUGUGCUACAUUUAGAUGCUGGAAGGGAGAAUUUGUCAUCCAUGAAAGAGGAGCCAGAUGCUGAUGCACACAGCUGAUCCCCAAAGCACAAAUCAGAUUCUGUAUAUGAAAAGUAGGAGUAUUCUGGUUUGAAACAAAACUGGAUAGGAAACAUCAACUAAAAUGACAAAAGAGAAAAUACAGUGGACCUUUGAACAAUGCCGGGACUAGGGACGCUGACUCAGUACACCUUACCAUGCAAUA